rnacentral:lncRNA from 1 species
CUAGCAACGAGCCCUUAGUUUUUGAAUAUAUCCUGUUAGUGAAAUCACAUAGAAAUAUGAAUUUCCCCCAAUUUCCAUACUAUCCAUCUAACAAAUAGAAAAUAGUAGUAUACAGCAACUAUUCGCAGCAACGGCGGCAAUUAGAGAGGUAAACCAACAGAGAAUUGAUUUCCUCGGCGACUCCGUCCAACAGCCAGAAAAUGAGCAACGACCGGCAGAGAAUCGACCAACAAAAAUCAUAGUUCAGAACUGCUCAAUGAAAAUCAUAGUUCAGGUGCAAAUUUCAAUAUUUUUCCGGAAAAAGAAAUCAUGUGUUGGUACUUUGCAUUAUGUGAAAGUUAAUUCUAGAUUAACACGAACUAAAAAUCUUUAUUUGUGAUAGUGGACUUAGGUUUAUACAGACCUCCAUAGUUUACCUACGAACUUCCAAUAUCGGGUCACGGGUCAGGUUAAUCUCUCCAAUUUAAAUGCUAGUUUCCUAUCGUUUUAAGAAAUGUUUUCCUGUCUUCCGCUCCUUGCCAAUGAUAUAUCUUAUACAACAAGAAUAACAUAUCUAGUAUAAUACCACAAGUGGGGUUUGGGGAGGAUAGUGUGCACGGAGACCUUACCCUACCCCGUGGAGUUAGAGAGGUUGUUUUCGAGGACCCUCGGCUUAAUGACAAAAUGAAAGGAGCAGUAGCAACAAGCAGUAACAAUAUCGAUAUAGUAAAAUAACUGAAGCGAAAGAAAUAACAGGUAGAAUAUAACUCUACGAACAAAAAUACAAGACUAAUACUACAAUAGCAUUGGAAUACAUUCAACCACCCCUAACCUAUAUCUUAAUCUUCGACCUCCACACCCUCCUAUCAAGGGUCAUGUUCUCGGUAAACUGAAGUUGCACCGUGUCCUGGCUAUCGCCUCACCCCAAUCUUCCUCUACCUCUCCUCAUGCCUACCACAACCAAUUCCUUACACCUCCUCAUGGGGGUAUCUGCACCUCUCCUUUUCACAUGCUCGUACUAUCUUAGCCUCACUUUCGCAUCUUGUCCUCCUCGUGAGCCACUCCCCCUUAUCUCGAACAACUUUAUUCCUAAUCUUACCUCUCCUAGUAGGCCCGCACAUUCAUCUCAACAUCUUCAUCUCUGUUACUUUCAUCUUCUGGACACGGGAGUUUUUAACUGGCCAACACUCUGCCCCACAUAGUCGGUCUAACCACCACUUAGUAGAAUUUACUUUUAAGUCUAGGCGGUACAUUCUUAUCACACAAAACAUCGGAUGCAAGCCUCCAUUUUAUCCAUCCCGCUCCAAUACGAUGUGUGACAUCUUCUCAAUCUCCCUAUUUCCUUGAUUAUUGAUCGGAGGUAUUUGAAACUUCCUUUCAUAGGGAGGACCUGGUUGUCAAGCGUCACUACUACGUCCGCAUCAUGGUUCUCGUCACUAAACUUGCACUUCAAGUAUUCUGUUUUGGUCUUGCUCAGCUCGAAACCUUUUGACUCCAGGGUUUGUCUCCAAACCUCCAACCUCGUGUUAAUACUGCCUAGCGUCUCGUCAAUCAGAAUAAUAUCGUCUGCAAAUAACAUGCACCAUGACACUUCCUCUUGAAUGUGACGCGAAUGUUUGUCCAUCGUUAAAGCAAAUAUAAACGGGCUAAGAGCAGAUACCUUGUGCAACACCAUUAGAACUGAAAAGUGUUCUGAGUCUCCUCUCACGGUUGUCACCCGGGUCCUAGCUCCCUCAAACAUCUCCUUAAACACCCUCGUAUAUGUAACAAGAACAAUGCUAGCCUCCAAACAUCUCCAAAGGACCUCCCUCGGGACUUUGUCAUAAGCUCUCUCUAGGUCAAGGAACACCAUAUGCAAAUCCCUCAUUUUCUCCCUAUACCGUUUUACCAAUCUCCUAACGAGCUGAAGGGCUUCCGUAGUCGAUCGUCUUGGAAACCAAUGAUAUCUUUGUUAUACAUAUCUAUACCUGGUAGAAGGAUGACUAUACUUCUGGGAGCGAACUACGAGCGAAUAUGAAGUGCACAGAUAUUAUUUAUGCAUUGGAAUGAAAGACAAUUCCGAUCCGCUUUGUGUGUGAAUAAGGAAGCUGCAAAUAAUGUAACUAUGAGUCUUAUGAAGAGUUCGAUUGGCUCAGAAUGGAUGCGGACGACAUGCUUAACACAUGCAAGUGGGACGGGAAGUGAUGCUUCCGUGGCGGAUAAGUAACGCAUAAUAACCUGACUUUGGGGGAAGGUGAACAACAACUGUACCCUGUAGGCUUGAGAGCAAAAUUACAAAUAAAAUACUCCCUCCGUUCCAAUUUAUGUGAACUUGUUUGUCUUGGCACGAAGUUUAAGAAAAAAUGAAGAUUUUUGGAAUUUGUGAUCCUGAACAAGUCAAAAAGGGAUCCAGAGUAUUUGUGUGGUUAUAAAAGCUUCUCAUUAAUGGUAAAAUUGUAAGUUUAAGCUAAAUUGUUUCCAUAUUUAGAAAGGGGUCAUUCUUUUUGGAAUGGACCAAAAAGGAAAUAGGUUCACAUAAAUUGGAACAGAUGGAGUAUAUGUUUUUGGUUGAAUUCUUUUAAAAAAAAUAGUAAUCGUUACUCUACACUUAAAAUAGUUGGGGCAUAAACUCUAAAAUAGAAAGAGCUCGAAAAUGAUAAUAUUGUCGGUACCUAACUAUUGUGAUGGGCUCAUCCUGACAAGUGAUACCCACAUUAUUUUGUUUAUUGAUACUUUUUGGGGUCGUUUGGUUCAGAGACAGUUAUGUAGGAUGGAUAAUCAACAACAAUAACAUACCCAAUAAAAUCUCACUAUUGGGGUCUGGGGAGAGUAGAGUGUACGCUGACCUUACCCCUACCCUGAAAAGGGUAGAGAGACUGUUUUCGAGAGACUCUCGGCUCAACAGGAGAGACAAUAAUAUCAGAAAAGAAACAAGAGAAAAGGCAUGUAACAACAAAAAUAUGUCAGAAAGAAAAUAACAACAACGAAUAAGUGAAAGGACAAUAACACAAAACUAUGCAAAACAACAAUGUGAACACAACAUAGACCGCUAACAAACCUAAACAAAACUCUAUCAGACUACCCGGUACAAAGAGGAAAGAAUUCUCGUCUACCCCCCUAGCCUACGACCCUAAUGCUCGACCUCCACAUGUUCCUAUCAAGAGCCAUGUCCUCGGAAAUCUGAAGCCGCGCCAUGUCCUGCCUGACCACCUCGCCCUAAUACUUCUUAGGCCGCCCUCUGCCUCUUCUCGUACCUGCCAAGUCAACCGCUCACACCUCCUAACCGGUGCAUCUAGGCUUCUCCCCCGCACGUGUCCGAACCAUCUAAGCCGCGCUUCCUACAUCUUGUCUUCCACGGGAGCCACGCCCACCCUCUCCCGAAUAGUUUCAUUCCGAAUCUUAUCCAGCCUAGUGUUCCUACACAUCCAUCUCAACAUCCUCAUUUUUACUACUUUCAUCUUCUGGAUAUGUGAAUUCUUGACUGGCCAACACUCAGCUCCAUACAACAUGGCCGGUCUAACCACCGCUCUAUAGAACUUACCUUUGAGUUUCAGUGGUACAUUCUUGUCACACAGGGCUCCAGACGCUAACCUCCAUUUCAUCCACCCCACCCCAAUACGGUGCGUAACAUCCCCGUCGAUCUCCCUGGAUAAUUGACCCUAAGUACUUAAAACUUUCUCUCCUGAGGAUGUCCUGUGAGUCUAGCCUAACUUCCACAUCCGCUUCCCCCGUCACGUCGCUGAACUUCCGUCUUAGUCCUACUCAACUUGAAACCUUUAGACUCCAGGGCCUGCCUUCAAACCUCCAGUCUCCAUUAACGCCGCCUCGCGUCUCAUCAAUCAGAACUAUAUCAUCAACGAACAACAUACACCAUGACACCUCUCCCUGGAUAUGGUGUGUUAGUGCGUCCAUCGCCAGAGCAAAUAAGAACGGACUGAGCGCAGAUCCUUGGUGUAACCCCAUAACCACCGGAAAAGGCUCUGAGUCACCUCCCACAGUCCUAACUCUAGUCAUAGCUCCAUCAUACAUAUCCUUUAUCUCUCUAAUGUAAGCCACCGACACACCUUUCACCGCCAGACACCUCCAAAGGAUGUCCCUAGGGACCUUGUCAUAUGCCUUCUCUAGGUCAAUAAACACCAUAUGCAAAUCCCUCUUCCUAUUCCUGUAUAGUUCCACCAACCUCCCUAAUAAAGUGGAUAGCUUCCGUAGUAGAACGAACCCGAACUGGUUUUCCAAUAUAGACACCGCCCUCCUUAUCCUCCCUUCCACCACCCUCUCCCAAAUUUUCAUGGUAUGACUUAGUAACUUGACGCCCCUAUAGUUGUUUCAAUUCUGGAUAUCCCCUUUGUUGUUGUACACCGGAACCAUUGUACUCCACCGCCACUCAUUAGGCAUCCUCUUUGUCUUGAAGAUAACAUUAAACAACCUAGUCAGCCACUCCAAGCCUGAUCGACCCGCAUAUCUCCAAAACUCUACUGGAAUCUCGUCUGGUCCUGUCGCUUUGCCCCGACUCAUCUUACCCAUCGCACCCACGACCUCCUCAACCUUAAUGCGCCUACAAUACCUGAAGUCUCGGUGACUCUCGGAGUGCCCAAUUGCCCUAACACGAUGUUUUCAUCCCCCUCUUUAUUCAGAAGUUUAUGAAAGUACGAUUGCCAUCUUUGCCUAAUCUGGGCCUCUUCCAUCAAUAGUCGACCGUGCUCGUUUUUGAUGCACCUCACUGGAUCCAGGUCGCGAGCCUUCCUCUCUCUCGCUUUGGCCAACCGAAAUAACUUCUUGUCCCCACCUUUGCCCCCAAGUUCCUCAUAAAGCUGACCAAAAGCAGCAGUCUUAGCCUCUGUGACCGUUAAUUUCGCCUCCUUCCUAGCCUCAUUGUAUCUUUCUCUGAUCGCUCUCCUCUGAUCCUCGUCGGUGCUCUCUACUAACUUAAUGUAAGCCGCUUUCUUGGCUUCCACUUUGCCUUGGACCACGUCAUUGAAUUAAUAUUGGCAUUAAUAAUCCAUAGUUUUGUACUAGUGCUUUAUUUGGUUCAUUGAAUUAAAAAUAGGAUAAUACGAUGUAUAAUCCAAACCAUUUGGUUUGGUAUGAAGAUAGAUAAAUUUGGAUACAAUUUUGUUUCCAAUUUGAACGUUGAAUAUUUCAGUUAUGAAACUGAUAGGGCCCUGGGGGGGGGGGGUAACAUUGUCAUGUUGAUAACUAUAUCUAGGUUAAUUGAUCAUGCUAUUAUUAACAAAUAAUACCAAGAUAUUAUUAUAAAAUUUAUAAUGGUAUUAGGUAAUACCGUAAACAAACACUGGAUAGACAUAAUCCAGUAUUUCAUACCAGAAUUAGAAUCCUAAUCCUUUUAACCAGAAGUCCUUUUAGAAAACUCAGUUGUUUUCUUAGCAGAAUACUUUUAUGUUAUGGCAAAAAAUGCUUUGUACUCGUAAAGCUUUUUUUUUAAAUAUCUAUCUUUCAAAAUAAAUGGCAAGAAAAAAAGGAGUAUUGACUUCAAAUGGUUAAUAUGUUAUAAUAGGUUUAAACUUUACACCCAAGGGUGUAGUUUACUGGUCAUGAAGUGGAUUGAAAACCAUGAGCUUCAGGUUCAAAUCCUAGGGGAGGCAAAAAUACUACUUUACUAGGUGAUUUCUUUCCAUAUGUCCAAGCCUUGGUGGACAGGGUUACUUGAUACAUGUUGUUGGUAAGAGGUAGCAGUAUCCCGUGCAAUUAGUCGAGUUGCGUGCAAGCCGACUCGGACACCACUAUUAUCCAUUUUUUUAAACUUUGAAAUAUAAUAUUAUAAGUAUGAUUUUAAGAAACUAAAAUGUUUUGUAUUGUUUCCUAGAACAUAUUGAUUUCCAUAUCCCUUUAAUGUGCCAUGUGAAUAUUUAGUCAAUGUGGACUAGUCGUGGCAAGUAGGAAUUUUAUUAAAGCUUGUUUUGUAACAACAGAGGCUGGAUUUUAAUUUUGUGAGUUCCAAACCGCAAUCCUUUUUGUUUACUAGGUUCUGAGUAGGUUAUUUAUGUAUAUAUAUCUGAUGAAUUUCUUAACAAAAAAUACAAAGGUGUAGGCCAAAGCUAUUGGAUUUUGUUGAACUCAUAACUUUAACGGUAUAUCCGUCCCUGAACAUCAACGCGCUAUAAAACUUCAAUUUAUGGUUGGUAAUUAUUUUCUUCUUCAAAGAAUGAACACUAUGGGACUUCAAAGUUGGUAGGUUUACUUACCAAAACGAGUUCACAUCUCAUUUUCAGAGGCAUGUACAUAUGAGAAAAUAACAGCCAAUUGGACUUAUUUGUUGUUCUUGGUAGUUGAUGACAUGCCAGAACAAGUCAAUCCUUUUGUGAGGAAAUUGAAAAGAAGUGUAUAGAUCUAAAGUGGGAACGCAUCUAAUACUUACCUAAUUCUUUUUUUUUUUUUUAAAAAA